rnacentral:rRNA from 1 species
GCUAGUUGUAUUAUUAGUUAAUGCAAGAUCGACUACGUCGACUAAAGUUCUAGGUAGAAUAAUGAUGAUGACAAUUUUUUACCUAUAUGUCUUGACCAAGUCUCGUGCCAGCAGUCGCGGUAAUACGUGGAAGACUAGUGUUAUUCAUCUUUAUUAGGUUUAAAGGGUACCUAGACGGUAUUUCUAGCCCAAAAUAGGGUACGGAUUUACUAGAGUUUUAUGUGAGGAGGGGAGUACUCGUGGAGUAGAGAUGAAAUUUUGUUAUACUAUGAGGUAACUGGUAGCGGCGAAAGCAACCUUCUAUGUAUAAACUGACGUUGAGGGACGAAGGCUUGGGUAGCAAAUAGGAUUAGAUACCCUAGUAGUCCAAGCAGACAAUUCUGAAUGCCAUAGAUUAGAUUAUUUUUGAUCUAUAAAUGAAAGUGUAAGCAUUCCACCUUAGGAGUAAUGUGGCAACACAGGAACUGAAAUCAUUAGACCGUUUCUGAAACCAGUAGUGAAGUAUGUUAUUUAAAUUGAUGGUCCACAAAAAACCUUACCACAACUUGAAUAUUUUUAAUUAAUACAAGCGUUGCACGGCUGUCUUCAGUUAAUGUCGUGAGAUUUUGGUUAACUCCAUUAAUUAACGUAAACCCUUACUUUA